CGGGGUCCGAGUCGAAUUUGCAGAGGAUGCUUCGGGAGCGGUCCCAUCUAAGUGCCCUGGAACGGGCCGUCAUAGAGGGUGAGAAUCCCGUCUGGGAUGGGCGGCCGCGCCCGUGUGAAGCUCCUUCGACGAGUCGAGUUGUUUGGGAAUGCAGCUCUAAGCGGGUGGUAAAUUUCAUCUAAAGCUAAAUACUGGCCGGAGACCGAUAGCGCACAAGUAGAGUGAUCGAAAGAUGAAAAGCACUUUGAAAAGAGAGUUAAACAGCACGUGAAAUUGUUGAAAGGGAAGCGUUGUCCACCAGACUCGCCCGGGGGGGUUCAGCCGGCACGUGUGCCGGUGUACUCCUCUCCGGGCGGGCCAGCAUCGGUUUGGGCGGCUGGUGAAAGGCCCCGGGAAUGUACCACCCUCCGGGGUGUCUUAUAGCCCGGGGUGCCAUACAGCCAGCCUGGACCGAGGCCCGCGCUUCGGCGUGGAUGCUGGCGUAAUGGUGGUCAACGGCCC
rnacentral:rRNA from 1 species